UUUUGUAUGAUUUUGAAUGCCCUCUCAGGAUGAACGCGGGCGGCGUGCUAUACAUGCAAGUCGAGCGAACAGAUAAGGAGCUUGCUCCUUUGACGUGAGCGGCGGACGGGUGAGUAACACGUGGAUAACCUACCUAUAAGACUGGGAUAACUUCGGGAAACCGGAGCUAAUACCGGAUAACAUAUUGAACCGCAUGGUUCAAUAGUGAAAGGCGGCUUUGCUGUCACUUAUAGAUGGAUCCGCGCCGUAUUAGCUAGUUGGUAAGGUAACGGCUUACCAAGGCAACGAUACGUAGCCGACCUGAGAGGGUGAUCGGCCACACUGGAACUGAGACACGGUCCAGACUCCUACGGGAGGCAGCAGUAGGGAAUCUUCCGCAAUGGGCGAAAGCCUGACGGAGCAACGCCGCGUGAGUGAUGAAGGUCUUCGGAUCGUAAAACUCUGUUAUCAGGGAAGAACAAAUGUGUAAGUAACUGUGCACAUCUUGACGGUACCUGAUCAGAAAGCCACGGCUAACUACGUGCCAGCAGCCGCGGUAAUACGUAGGUGGCAAGCGUUAUCCGGAAUUAUUGGGCGUAAAGCGCGCGUAGGCGGUUUUUUAAGUCUGAUGUGAAAGCCCACGGCUCAACCGUGGAGGGUCAUUGGAAACUGGAAAACUGAGGCUAGAAGAUGAAC
rnacentral:rRNA from 1 species